GACGAACGCUGGCGGCGUGCUUAACACAUGCAAGUCGAACGGAAAGGCCCUGCUUUUGUGGGGUGCUCGAGUGGCGAACGGGUGAGUAACACGUGAGUAACCUGCCCUUGACUUUGGGAUAACUUCAGGAAACUGGGGCUAAUACCGGAUAGGAGCUCCUGCUGCAUGGUGGGGGUUGGAAAGUUUCGGCGGUUGGGGCUGGACUCGCGGCUUAUCAGCUUGUUGGUGGGGUAGUGGCUUACCAAGGCUUUGACGGGUAGCCGGCCUGAGAGGGUGACCGGCCACAUUGGGACUGAGAUACGGCCCAGACGCCUACGGGAGGCAGCAGUCGGGAAUAUUGCGCAAUGGGCGGGAGCCUGAUGCAGCAACGCCGCGUGCGGGAUGACGGCCUUCGGGGUGUAAACCGCUUUCGCCUGUGACGAAGCGUGAGUGACGGUAAUGAGUAAAGAAGCAACGGCUAACUACGUG
rnacentral:rRNA from 1 species